CCUACGGGAUGCAGCAGUGGGGGAUAUUGCACAAUGGGGGGAACCCUGAUGCAGCGACGCCGCGUGGGUGAAGGAGUGCUUCGGCAUGUAAAGCCCUAUCGGCAGGGAAGAAGCAAGACGGUACCUGACUAAGAAUCCCCGGCUAACUACGUGCCAGCAGCCGCGGUAAUACGUAGGGGUCGAGCGGUAUCCGGAUACACUGGGUGUAAAGGGAGCGUAGACGGCCAUGCAAGCCAGGGGUGAAAGCCCGGGGCCCAACCCCGGGACUGCCCUUGGAACUGUGCGGCUAGAGUGCGGGAGGGGCAGGAGGAAUUCCUGGUGUAGCGGUGAAAUGCGUAGAGAUCAGGAGGAACACCGGCGGCGAAGGCGGCCUGCUGGACCGCGACUGACGUUGAGGCUCGAAAGCGUGGGGAGCGAACAGGAUUAGAUACCCCGGUAGUC
rnacentral:rRNA from 1 species